AGCGAACGCUGGCGGCAGGCUUAACACAUGCAAGUCGAGCGGGCCCUUCGGGGUCAGCGGCAGACGGGUGAGUAACACGUGGGAACGUACCCUUUGGUUCGGAAUAACGCUGGGAAACUAGCGCUAAUACCGGAUACGCCCUUUUGGGGAAAGGCUUGCUGCCGAAGGAUCGGCCCGCGUCUGAUUAGCUAGUUGGUGGGGUAAUGGCCUACCAAGGCGACGAUCAGUAGCUGGUCUGAGAGGAUGAUCAGCCACACUGGGACUGAGACACGACCCAGACUCCUACGGGAGGCAGCAGUGGGGAAUAUUGGACAAUGGGCGCAAGCCUGAUCCAGCCAUGCCGCGUGAGUGAUGAAGGCCUUAGGGUUGUAAAGCUCUUUUGUCCGGGACGAUAAUGACGGUACCGGAAGAAUAAGCCCCGGCUAACUUCGUG
rnacentral:rRNA from 1 species